rnacentral:tRNA from 1 species
GGGGAGUUAAGCUAACCUGGCAGACUACUGCGUUUGGGUCGCAGUGAUCCGAGUUCAAAUCUCGGACUCCCCA